GGUUCAGGAUGAACGCUGGCGGCGUGCUUAAUACAUGCAAGUCGAACGAAGACAGUAGCAAUAUUGUCUGAGUAGCGAACGGGUGAGUAACGCGUUGGUGACCUGCCCCGAAGAGAGGGAUAACAGUCCGAAAGGAUUGCUAAUACCCCAUGUGGUCGUUUGGAUUAGAUGCCUUAUGACUAAACGGAUUUAUUCGCUUCGGGAGGGGCCUGCGUCCCAUCAGCUAGUUGGUAAGGUAAUGGCCUACCAAGGCGAUGACGGGUAGGGGACCUGAGAGGGUGGCCCCCCACAAUGGAACUGAAACACGGUCCAUACACCUACGGGUGGCAGCAGUAGGGAAUAUUGGUUAAUCUGGGAAACCGGGAACCAGCCAACGCCGCGUGCACGAUGAAGGCCUUCGGGUUGUAAAGUGCCUUUUGAAAGGAUGAGGAAGGACAGUACUUUCAGAAUAAGCUUCGGCUAACUACGUGCCAGCAGCUGC
rnacentral:rRNA from 1 species